UCGCCUGCGGAGGAGUUUUGCUUUUUCAGUUGGCAAAACUGACGCGUCGGCCACAGAAGUGCCGGGAACGAGCCGCGGAAAAAAAUAAGCCAUUCGUAGUGGCAUUGUCAAAAGGCCAGCCAACAGCCCGUAUUUCUCGACAGGGCUAUCAAGCCAGCCUCCCAGGGAUCGAGAAAAUCCCCGACGGGACAAGCGCCAAAAGGAACCUCACGGAGACAGGCAGUGCUACCAAGCUAGUCACCCGGGGCUAAAGAAGUUCCCCGACGGGAGAAGGGCAAAUAGGAGCCAUCUGGUAAAAGACAGGCUAACCCGUUGUGCAUCCAGGGCUCGAGCAAAUUCCCCGAGGGGAAAAGGGCCAUUAAGCAGCUUGCCGAGAAAAACGAGGCUACCACGCUUGUUACCCAGGGCACGAGCAAAAUUCCCGGAAGGAAAAGUGCCAAAAAACACUAUCCAACAAAAGGUAGCAGUCACAUAUUAGCUGCCCAGGGCUCAAGGAAAUUUCCCGAAGGGAAAAGUGCCGAAAAAGCACCACGCGCUAGGAGAUUCUGGCGACGAUAUUCAGGCGCAUUCUGCCAGCAAGAAUACCAGGCACUCGGCGAUCAACAUCAAAAGGGGUCGGAAGACCCCUUUUUUGGACACUGUUGUAACUUUUUUCGGACACCUCCCUUUUGGACGCCUUUUGGCACUUUUCGACACCUUUUCGGACACCUUUUGCCACUUGUUUCGUCACCUUUUUGCUGAUACUUCGGCUCCGGAUUCAACGCUGGCUGCUCGCUGUAGGGAAUAUAGUAAGGAUAAAUAUCUCUGAUGGAAUAAACGAAACAUGAACAACUAGAA